GGCGGCAUGCCUAACACAUGCAAGUCGAACGUGAUCCAUGACUUCGGUUGUGGUGAAAGUGGCAAACGGGUGAGUAACGCGUGGGAAUCUGCCCAGAGGUAGGGAAUAACCGCGGGAAACUGCGGCUAAUACCCUAUGUGCCCUACGGGGCAAAGAUUUAUCGCCUUUGGAGGAGCCCGCGUCGGAUUAGGUAGUUGGUAGGGUAACGGCCUACCAAGCCUACGAUCCGUAGCUGGUCUGAGAGGAUGAUCAGCCACACUGGGACUGAGAUACGGCCCAGACUCCUACGGGAGGCAGCAGUGGGGAAUAUUGGACAAUGGGGGCAACCCUGAUCCAGCAAUGCCGCGUGAGUGAUGAAGGCCUUCGGGUUGUAAAGCUCUUUCGGCGGGGAAGAUGAUGACGGUACCCGCAGAAGAAGCCCCGGCUAACUUCGUGCCAGCAGCCGCGGUAAUACCAAGGGGGCUAGCGUUGUUCGGAAUUACUGGGCGUNAAGGGCGCGUANGCGGUGCUGUAAGUCAGGCGUGAAAUCCCC
rnacentral:rRNA from 1 species